rnacentral:rRNA from 1 species
AGAAUCAACGCUGGCGGCGUGCCUAACACAUGCAAGUCGAACGAGAAAGGGUAGCAAUACCUGAGUAAAGUGGCGCACGGGUGAGUAACACGUGACUAACCUACCUUUUAGUGGGGGAUAACCUAGGGAAACCUGGGCUAAUACCGCAUAAUACCUACGGGUCAAAGCAGCAAUGCGCUGAUAGAGGGGUCGCGGCCGAUUAGCUAGUUGGCGGGGUAAUGGCCCACCAAGACGAUGAUCGGUA